UAAGUAGGACAGACAAUCGCGGCUGCAGGCGCCGAAAGGCCGCAGACGAGGAAAGUCCGGGCUUCACAGGGCAGGAUGCCGGAUAACGUCCGGUGGAGGUGACUCCAAGGCCAGUGCAACAGAAAUAAACCGCCGCGGGCACACUUUUCGGAGCAGUCCGGGAAGUACGGCCUGCGGUAAGGGUGGAAAGGCAGUGUAAGAGACUACCGCCCUGGUGGUAACAGCAGGGGCACAUGUAAACCCCAUCCGAAGCAAGACCGAGAAGAGGCAUUGUGGCGGCCCGUCACGCUUCAGGUAGGUCGCUCGAGCACGGCGGUAACGCCGCGCCUAGACAGAUGAUUGUCCAACGACAUAACCCGGCUUAUCGUCCUGCUUGACAC
rnacentral:RNase_P_RNA from 2 species